CCAACAAAACAUUUAGUUUCGUUGUGCUGGUGAUAUCGCACAAGUUAAGUGAAAAGGGAUAUUUUGCUUAACUUGCUACGAUAUUGCUAGUUAGAUAUCUUUUUGAAUGGUAUGUGCAAAUUUUUUUUUUUUUAAAUAUGUUUUGAGUUGAUGAUGAUCAUUUCUGUUCCUAGUAGGGCAUUCGAUGCGGACACUUUUGUAUUUUAGGAAUUCUUCGUUGCUGAACUAACUCAAUAAUUUUGAAAGCCUAAUUCGAUUACUAUUAAUUACUAACUUCUUAGGUAUGUUUAUUGAGUCUGUGUUAAGAUUGCUAAGAUGAUUAUACUUUACCCCUUUCUGUUGGUGAUAAUCAAUGAUCCUCAGAAAACAUGCAUCACCGAAUGAACAUAGCACGUCUCAGCCAUUAAUUUCGUAAUUAUUAAUGUUUUUAUAUUAACUAAUUUAGAUUAAUUGAUUUUAGCUGUUUUUUACCGAAGCAUUUACUAAAGCCAUUUACAUGUAUGAUGAUACUUAAUUUUCAGUUCUGCUUCUGAGAAAAGCUUGAAGACAACCUGAUACCAAGAAACUCUCUAUUAUCUGAUUGUGUUAAUAGGCUUACUGCAUUUGCUUGUGUUUUGAAAUAGAUAAAUCAAAUAUAUAUGUUCGUGUAUUAA
rnacentral:sRNA from 1 species